GCCAACCUUAAUAAGCAUGGAAGUGGAUUAUCCCCCAGAGCUCCACAUAAGAAUUCGGGUCAGCUGACACCUUGAAUUACUCUUAAAAUUAUUAUCCUAAAUGAAAGAGGCAAGACAAAAAGAAAAAUUUAAUACAUUUUCCAUCUUAACUAAGCACUUAAUACAUGCUGGACAAAGGAAUGAUUUACAUCCCAGAUAGGAUGGAACGGAACAAAGCAAGGGAAUUCUACUCUAGGCUCAAGAAGACAUCUGGCAGCAGUGUGGAUCAAGAUCUGCCUUGUGGACAAUUGCUGGAAAGAUGUGAUAAUUCCAUUUUCUGUAGAACAGCCGAGUGCAUGUUAUUAAAUGUCAAGUAUUUCCACAAACAGCUG
rnacentral:lncRNA from 13 species